rnacentral:rRNA from 1 species
UACGUAGGGGGCAAGCGUUAUCCGGAUUUACUGGGUGUAAAGGGAGCGCAGGCGGUCUGGCAAGUCAGAUGUGAAAGCCCGGGGCUUAACCCCGGGACUGCAUUUGAAACUGUCAGACUGGAGUGCAGGAGAGGCAAGUGGAAUUCCUAGUGUAGCGGUGAAAUGCGUAGAUAUUAGGAGGAACACCAGUGGCGAAGGCGGCUUGCUGGACUGUAACUGACGCUGAGGCUCGAAAGCAUGGGGAGCAAACAGG